AAAUUUGACCUAUAAUUUAAUCAGUCUUAAUUAAAUUAUAAUAUUUAAAAUUAAGUCUUUUUCCUAACAAUUAGCAGCUGCCAAAAUUGUAACACUUAUAAAUUAGCAAUUUUCAAAUUUCAAACUAUCAAUCUGAUUAAUAAUUUAAAUAUAUUUUAAAAUAUUGAUCAGAUCAUGCUCCUUUUAUGUGUAACCCCUCAGAUUUUAUUCUAUCUAAUAGCGAGACAUACCGUGAUCUCCAACAUAGUAUCAUCAAAACUCCUUUCGAUGGACUGGAACGAUUGCAACUCACCCCAAUAAGGAUUGUUGAUCCGAAAAUGAUUCUAAUAAGUUCUCAUUAUCCACCAGUGAUACCUAACAGUACGAAGUGGCAAUCCAGUAGAAUAGAAAAGAUGAAUCUCUAUGUGCAGUUAUCGUAUGAUAUAAUUUUUCUAUCGUGAGUUCCGACUAGACGGAGGUCAUGGAGAACUCGUCAUCAGUCAUAUGCUAGAUUGCACACCAUGUAUAUGGGGAAGAAUAUGUGCAACAAGCUAAUGCUGAAGAAGAGGUUGUACAGUUUUCGGAUGUAGGAGGGAUCUGAUGUGAUUGGCCACAUUCAGAGGUUCGACCAGUUAUGCAUGGAGUUGAUGAAUAUCGGGGUGAAGCUAGAUGAGGAGGACAAGUCCCUGUUGCUUUUGUGUUCGCUGCUUGGAUCAUAUGACUCUUUGGUGACUACACUGCUCUACGGCAAGGAGACUCUGGAAUAUGAGGACAUGGUCUCGGUGCUGAGGUCUAAUGAGCAAAGAAAAAAAUUGACUAGAGAUCGGGCUCCCCAGGAGGGUUUGGCAGUAGGGGAGAGGACAGGUAGAGGCAGAGGCAGAAGCAAGUCCAGGGGGCGGUCCAAGUCCAGAAAGGGAAAGAAAGAGAUGAAAUAUUUCAAGUGCAAUUAGUUCGGGCACUUCAAGCGAGAAUGUCCACUAUGGAAGAGCAAGAAGGGAGAAAGAAGUGGCUCAGAAUCAAUGAGUGCAGUUGCUGGGCAGCAGGUGGAGGAUGAUCUACUUGUGGUAUCAGAUGGUCACAGGCAUUACACAGAGGAGUGGACACUAGACUCUGCGUGCUCACAUCACUACACACCACACAGGUCUUGGUUUGCGACAUACAUCAAGACAGAUGAGGGAUCAGUGACUCUAGGUGACAAUCAUCCUUGCAAGGUGGCUAGGAUAGGGACA
rnacentral:lncRNA from 1 species